GCAUUCGGCACCGCCCGACUCUCCCUGUUCCGGGCGAUGCCCGCGGGUGCAGGCAACCCUCUUCAGCCUGCACCCGCAAUACCUGAACGGCCGGCGCGCUCCCCUCGCGCCGGCCGUUUUGU
rnacentral:sRNA from 1 species